GGUAACUGUGUGCCGUGUGCGAGGUUAAGACAUGGGGUGCGAAUGUUGGGCGGAAUUACUGGGCGUAAAGCGCAUGUAGGCGGAUCCAUAAGUCGGGCGUGAAAUCCCCAGGCUCAACCUGGGAACUGCGCUCGAAACUGGUGGUCUCGAGUGUCGGAGAGGAUGGCGGAAUUCCUGGUGUAGAGGUGAAAUUCGUAGAUAUCAGGAGGAACACCGGUGGCGAAGGCGGCCAUCUGGACGACAACUGACGCUGAGAUGCGAAAGCGUGGGGAGCAAACAGGAUUAGAUACCCGGGUAGUC
rnacentral:rRNA from 1 species